AUGAAAAGAGUCCAAUGCAAAGAAGACGGUAUCAGAUGAAAACUUUCUGUGAAAGAAGUACAAAUGCUUAUUAGAGAAAUAAUGGUUAGAACUCAUGUAGACUCUCCUCUCCACUUGCAGAAAACUCCAUCAGAAUCUGAAGUUAUCCAAGAGAAGUUUUUAUAGCCCUCAUGAAAAAGGUUCUUGAGAAGAUGACCAUCUUCUGGAAGGCCACCGGGAAAGGCUGAGAGCGCUUGAUCUGGUAACAAUAAGAAAGCUGAAAGCAGGAAACGGUGCUCUGUAUUCAAAGAACAUAGAAAUCUCUUGUACUUCUUAGCAGUUUGAUAUUACAAGGCUUGCAGAAUACUUGCUUUAUGCAUGUAGUCAUUGGAAGUUCCCAGCACCUCUUGCCAGCUGGUUGGAUGAACGCCUCAAGGACAUGUACGUUGAAGUCACUGCUGCAGGAAGGAUCUUCUGCUGCUUUCCUGCCACCACUGUACUUGGAGGAAUUUUGA
rnacentral:lncRNA from 1 species